rnacentral:rRNA from 1 species
UACGGGGGGGGCAAGCGUUGUUCGGAAUUACUGGGCGUAAAGGGCUCGUAGGUGGCCAACUAAGUCAGACGUGAAAUCCCUCGGCUUAACCGGGGAACUGCGUCUGAUACUGGAUGGCUUGAGAUUGGGAGAGGGAUGCGGAAUUCCAGGUGUAGCGGUGAAAUGCGCAGAUAUCAGGAGGAACACCAAUGGCGAAGGCAGCUCGCUGGGACGGUACUGACGCUGAGACGCGAAAGCGUGGGGAGCAAACAGG